rnacentral:rRNA from 1 species
AUGGCUCAGGAUGAACGCUGGCGGCAGGCUUAAUACAUGCAAGUCGAACGGUAAGGUCCGAAGUGGCAACACGGAGGAUACACGAGUGGCGCACGGGUGCGUAACGCGUAUGCAACCUGCCCCCGACCGGGACAAAACAGCUGGAAACGGCUGCUAAUAUCCCAUGGUCAUGCGGAAGGGCAUCCUUCUUCAUGUAAAGAUUCAUUGGUCGGGGAUGGGCAUGCGUAUUAUUAGGUAGUUGGCGGGGUAACGGCCCACCAAGCCGACGAUGAUUAGGGGUCCUGAGAGGGUUAACCCCCACACUGGAACUGAGACACGGUCCAGACUCCUACGGGAGGCAGCAGUAGGGAAUAUUGGGCAAUGGGAGCAAUCCUGACCCAGCCAUGCCGCGUGAAGGAAGACGGCCCUAUGGGUUGUAAACUUCUUUUGCCGCAGAGUAAACCCGGUCACGAGUGGUCGGUUGAGAGUAUGCGGCGAAUAAGUAUCGGCUAACUCCGUGCCAGCCGCUGC